AUUGAACGCUGGCGGCAGGCCUAACCCAUGCAAGUCGAACGAGUGGCGGACGGGUGAGUAAUGUCUGGGCAACUUCCCGAUGGAGGGGGAUAAGUACUGGAAACGGUAGCUAAUACCGCAUACCAUCGGAUGUGCCCAGAUGGGAUUAGCAAGUAGGUGGGGUAAAGGCUAACCUAGGCGACGAUCCCUAGCUGGUCUGAGAGGAUGACCAGACACACUGGAACUGAGACACGGGCCAGACGCCUACGGGAGGCAGCAGUGGGGAAUAUUGCACAAUGGGCGAAAGACUGAGGCAGCCAUGCCGCGUGUAUGAAGAAGGCCUUCGGGUUGUAAAGUACUUUCAGCGGGGAGGCGUUACCCGCAGAAGAAGCACCGGCUAACUCCGUGCCAGCCGCCGCGGUAAUUC
rnacentral:rRNA from 1 species